UACGAAGGGUGCAAACGUUGCUCGGAAUUAUUGGGCGUAAAGCGCACGUAGGCGGCAUUGCAAGUCGGAUGUGAAAUCCCUCGGCUUAACCAAGGAAGUGCAUCCGAAACUGCAGUGCUUGAGUACUUAAGAGGAUCGCGGAAUUCCCGGUGUAGAGGUGAAAUUCGUAGAUAUCGGGAGGAACACCGGUGGCGAAGGCGGCGACCUGGGUGGAUACUGACGCUGAGGUGCGAAAGCGUGGGGAGCAAACAGG
rnacentral:rRNA from 1 species